rnacentral:lncRNA from 1 species
AAUUUGCCUUUUGAUGCGUCCGAAGAGGUAUCUCUGAAAAUUGGAAACAUUUUUAGAAUUACGUAUGGUGCAUAAGAAGCAUAUGCGGUGCAUUGAGAAACCCCUUACUAAAUAUGGCCAAUGGUCAUCGUCAAAUUGUGAUUUUAUAAUGUUACAAUGGUACAUAAUUGUUGUUAUGUUUGUCCAAGACAAGACUACGUACUUUUGAAUUUGCUCUUUAAUGUUAUG